rfam:TPA: Bos taurus chromosome X, whole genome shotgun sequence.
UCCCUGGUCGCUCAGAUGGUAAAAGCAUCUGCCUACAAUGCAGGAGACCUGGGUUCAAUUCCUGGUUUGGGAA